rnacentral:rRNA from 1 species
AUUGAACGCUGGCGGCAUGCCUUACACAUGCAAGUCGAACGGCAUCGCGGGAAAGCUUGCUUUCCUGGCGGCGAGUGGCGAACGGGUGAGUAACACAUCGGAACGUACCGGCUAGUGGGGGAUAACCCGUCGAAAGACGGGCUAAUACCUCAUACGCUCUUCGGAGGAAAGCAGGGGACCUUUGGGCCUUGCGCUAGCCGAGCGGCCGAUGUCCGAUUAGCUAGUUGGUGGGGUAAAGGCCUACCAAGGCGACGAUCGGUAGCGGGUCUGAGAGGACGAUCCGCCAGACUGGGACUGAGACACGGCCCAGACUCCUACGGGAGGCAGCAGUGGGGAAUCUUGGACAAUGGGGGCAACCCUGAUCCAGCAAUGCCGCGUGGGUGAAGAAGGCCUUCGGGUUGUAAAGCCCUUUCGGCAGGGAAGAAAUCGGAGGGGCGAAUAACCCUGCUGGAUGACGGUACCUGCAGAAGAAGCACCGGCUAACUACGUG